GAGCUGCCCGGGGAUAGACUCU
rnacentral:miRNA from 1 species